rnacentral:rRNA from 1 species
CGCGAAUGGCUCAUUACAACAGCCAUCGUUUACUAGAAAAUAUUUAUCCUACUUGGAUAACUGUGGCAAUUCUAGAGCUAAUACAUGCAAAAAAGCUCAGACUGAAAGGAAUGAGCGCAUUUAUUAGAAUAAAAACCAAUCGGGUCUAAAAGCCCGCUGUUUGGUGAAUCUGAAUAACUUUGCUGAUCGCACGGUCUAGUACCGGCGACGUAUCUUUCAAGUGUCUGCCUUAUCAACUUUCGAUGGUAGGUUAUACGCCUACCAUGGUAGUAACGGGUAACGGAGAAUAAGGGUUCGACUCCGGAGAGGGAGCCUGAGAAACGGCUACCACAUCCAAGGAAGGCAGCAGGCGCGCAAAUUACCCACUUCCAGAACGGAGAGGUAGUGACGAAAAAUAACGAGACAGUCCUCUCUGAGGUCUGUCAUCGGAAUGGGUACAAUUUAAACCCUUUAACGAGUAUCUAUGAGAGGGCAAGUCUGGUGCCAGCAGCCGCGGUAAUUCCAGCU